ACGAACGCUGGCGGCGUGCUUAACACAUGCAAGUCGAACGGAAAGGCCCUGCUUUUGUGGGGUGCUCGAGUGGCGAACGGGUGAGUAACACGUGAGUAACCUGCCCUUGACUUUGGGAUAACUUCAGGAAACUGGGGCUAAUACCGGAUAGGAGCUCCUGCUGCAUGGUGGGGGUUGGAAAGUUUUGGCGGUUGGGGAUGGACUCGCGGCUUAUCAGCUUGUUGGUGGGGUAGUGGCUUACCAAGGCUUUGACGGGUAGCCGGCCUGAGAGGGUGACCGGCCACAUUGGGACUGAGAUACGGCCCAGACUCCUACGGGAGGCAGCAGUGGGGAAUAUUGCACAAUGGGCGGAAGCCUGAUGCAGCAACGCCGCGUGCGGGAUGACGGCCUUCGGGUUGUAAACCGCCUUCGCCUGUGACGAAGCGUGAGUGACGGUAAUGGGUAAAGAAGCACCGGCUAACUACGUG
rnacentral:rRNA from 1 species